rnacentral:rRNA from 1 species
CUGCUACACACAUUUCUAGUGAACUACUUCUUUUGUCCUCGGAGACAACGGUACUGCAGAUGGAAUGAAGUGUACCACAUGGUCAAAUUCAUUGGACCGCAUGGUGAAGACUAGAGAACUCCAUUUUUACAGUUAGUGAAAGUAAACCCCGCGACAGAAACUAGUGAAGUAAAUCUAAAAGGAAAUUAACUUCUGUGUGAUGGUUUUUUAUUGUCGUUACAAAGGAAACCACAGGAGCGCACUGCACGCAUACACACACCGCAUUGCAAGCAUACACAUAAGUGAAACCACCAUGUGUGACAAUACAAAUUGUUUUCUCAAAAAACAUGACCGAUGGGAUGGACUACACUUUUUAAAUAGCAAGCAAACCACAAGCAUCGUUACAAAUAAACUGCAUUUUUUACAUAGCGAGCAAACCACAAAAAACUGGGAAUUUUGCACAAUAUCCUGCGCAAACAGAAGCGAACAGCCUGCGAUCACCGUCCUAUAGAGCAGAGCAGGUACAGGGGUGUUGAAAGUGGACCACACAUUUUUGGGGAAAAUGAACCGCGCACACAUGCUGGAUGAGCUGAAAAAGAUGCAAAGAUUUCAUCCAUAGACUAGCCUCGUCACACACUUCUUAUCCUUCCACCACUGUAUGUGCCUUUUCCCUUUUAUUUCUUCUUUGUGCGCACAAACAAGCUACAGCAGCAAUAUUCGACGGUAAAAUCAGAGGAGAAAAAAGCUAAACAGUAGAUACUUCAUGGGACAAUAGUAGUUGCUUCAAAAGUCUGCAGCGGUGAGGAAUCAAUUCAGAGAGGAAAAAACUAACACUUGGUCACAGGAUGGAGGCAAACCUACAGUCGGGAGCAGAAGCUAUGAUGUUUAGAGAUAGCAGCUAGGCGGAGCAAGCGGAGGCCACGAGCAAUGGAUCAAACGACCUCCUUGGGACACCGCCACCUGCUGCUAUGCUCCCGUAGCUACUGCUGAGAUGGAUUCAGUGUGUGCAGGCGGCCGAAUCGUUCAGAGCUGCAUGCCCGCUGGCUUUGAGCUGCAAGACACACACACCGCACGACGCCACCCACGAAAUCAAACUGCAUCGGGAGCCUCGACUGUCUUCAGGCCAGCUCACAGGAGGGAAGGGGAUGCAGGAGAUCUCGUCGGAGGCCGUCGGAGAUCUCACCUGAGGAACUCACUGCCCGUGGUCCGGUGGUCGGGGGACGGCCGAAUCCGUGGACGGAGAGCCACCGGAGUCGUCGGCCACCACGCAGCUGAGGGGGAGGGGCGAGUGGCCAGGGGUUGGGCGGCGCUGGCUGGGGGAGUUGGUAUCUAGGAGGACGGAGAUGGCUCACGGUAGCCCUGGUGGCGUGGGGAUCUGGCUCCCCCGCUGGCCGGCGGCGAAGCGAAGUGGUAGGAGGUAGUGGUAGGGGCCGUGAUUGGAGAAGGUGGAGGGGGCCCCGCGAGCAAGGGCGACAGCAGCACGAGGCAGUGGAGGUGGUGGGGCAGUGCCCGACGGCGGGGUUGGGGGAGGUGUGACCGGAGUAGGUGGUCGGGGUGACGAAUAGAAGGUGUGAUGAUGCCGACCAGGAGGUAGAGGAGUCGGGGCGGCGCCGGCUGUGAGGAGGAGGCGUCGGGGCGGCGCCGGCCGGGAGCAGGAGGAGGCGAGGAAGCCGGGAUUCGUUUCGGGUAGGACGUGCCGCGCGCAGAGAAGGUGGGGAGGGUGGGGCGACUGCUCGGGUGGUGCGCAUCUCGCCGGAGAAGGUGGGCUGCGCUGGGCCGGCUUGGAUCAGGGUAGGUGGCGUGCGGGAGGUGGGGUGGGGAUUGGUUGAUUUUGUUCGUUUCGGGUGUUAGCAGAAUAAGAGGAGUUGUUAGCACAAUAAGGUCUUAAGGGGUGUUAUUAGAAUAAACCCACCCUAUAUAUAUAAUUUAAAGUGGCAAAAUAUUGGAAAGUUUUCUGUGGUUAGUUUAUAGAUAAAAGCAAGCAAAUAUACCAUGUAAUGAACAUAUAUCUAAUACAAAUUAAAAUGCCACGGAAAAAAUCAUCUUUAAAAAGUUUGUCAUGGCAUGUCUAUGCAUAUAGUACAGAACUUAAGGUGCCGUGGAACAAAAGUAUUUUAAAAAAAUGCUUCGUAAAAAACAUGGCAAGUUUUUUUUUUGAAAAAUGGACACAUGGAAAAUUUAGGAGAUUUAUUCUUUAACAUACAUG